rnacentral:rRNA from 1 species
GCCUACGGGGGGCAGCAGUGGGGAAUAUUGGGCAAUGGGCGCAAGCCUGACCCAGCAACGCCGCGUGAAGGAAGAAGGCUUUCGGGUUGUAAACUUCUUUUACCAGGGACGAAGAAAGUGACGGUACCUGGAGAAUAAGCCACGGCUAACUACGUGCCAGCAGCCGCGGUAAUACGUAGGUGGCGAGCGUUGUCCGGAUUUACUGGGUGUAAAGGGCGCGUAGGCGGGAAUGCAAGUCAGA